rnacentral:rRNA from 1 species
AGCAGCCGCGGUAAUUCCAGCUCCAAUAGCGUAUAUUAAAGUUGCUGCAGUUAAAAAGCUCGAGUUGAAUUUCGGGGUCAGUAGGUCGGUCGUGCCACUGGUAUGAACUGGUUUUACUGAUUCCUCCCUCUUGAAGAACUGUAAUGCCAUUAAUUUGGUGUUGCAGGGAAUCAGGACUGUUACUUUGAAAAAAUUAGAGUGUUUAAAGCAGGCUUUAGCUUGAAUACAUUAGCAUGGAAUAAUGAAAUAGGACGUUUGAUCCUAUUUUGUUGGUUUCUAGGAUUGACGUAAUGAUUAAUAGGGAUAGUUGGGGGCAUUAGUAUUCAAUUGUCAGAGGUGAAAUUCUUGGAUUUAUUGAAGACUAACUACUGCGAAAGCAUUUGCCAAGGAUGUUUUCAUUAAUCAAGAACGAAAGUUAGGGGAUCGAAGACGAUCAGAUACCGUCGUAGUCUUAACCAUAAACUAUGCCGACUAGGGAUCGGAUGAUGUUAAUUUUUUAAUGACUCA